rnacentral:rRNA from 1 species
ACGGAAGGCAGCAGUGAGGAAUAUUGGUCAAUGGACGGAAGUCUGAACCAGCCAAGUCGCGUGAAGGAUGAAGGUAUUAUGUAUUGUAAACUUCUUUAGACGUAGAGAAAUAAGAGGGUCGUGACCCUUGAUGCUAGUAUACGUAGAAUAAGGAUCGGCUAACUCCGUGCCAGCAGCCGCGGUAAUACGGAGGAUCCGAGCGUUAUCCGGAUUUAUUGGGUUUAAAGGGUGCGCAGGCGGAGGAUUAAGUCAGCGGUGAAAUUCUCAUGCUCAACAUGAGAGCUGCCAUUGAUACUGGUCCCCUUGAGAGAUGUCGAGGAUGGCGGAAUGUGAUGUGUAGCGGUGAAAUGCUUAGAUAUGUCACAGGACACCGAUUGCGAAGGCAGCUGUCCAGAGAUCUUCUGACGCUCAGGCACGAAAGCAUGGGUAUCAAACAGGAUUAGAUACCCUGGUA